rnacentral:lncRNA from 1 species
GUUAACUUUUGCAAAUUCCGUGCUGAAAAAUGUUGCUACUAAGGAUGGUUGGUGUCAAAAGAGGUUCUUUUCUCGCUUGAAUUCAUUAAAAUCUCCAGGUGAGGGGAAGAUUGUAUCUAUUCCUCUCUUUUUAAAGCAAAUUUUCCAAGAGGGAUCUAAAAUUGCAUUUGAGGGUUGGGGUGUGGUUUUUUUCCCUUCUUUCAUGUGCAACCUAACAACUCCAACUUCACAGGCCUAUUUAACAUUUGAUCCAUCAAAAUCAGUCCUUUGAUUUGUGUUUUGGAAACUUGUUCAUCUUGGGGAAUUUGUCAUCUUCUCAGGGUAUUGAAGGUCAACCAAAUGCUGCAGGUUUCAUUCUUCCUUUAAUAUGGUCUAUGUGCUGGAGUUUGACUCUUAAGCAGAACUCAUUUUUUAUUUUGCAGCCUAGCACUUCUACUGUGGGGCUCUGGGCAGGUCAAUUCACUUGAGAACGAUGGGUAAAUCAGCUCCUGGGAAGCUGUGCACUGCCUGGCCCCGAUGCUUCAGCAUGCUUGAGGUCAGCUUGGCUGUCUCCGACUGUCUAAUAAUAUGCAGAAUAAUAGAAUUUAGUAUUCAUUUUAAUUGCUGAUCAAUAAGAUUUGUUUUCAUCUAAAUCUGCGUGCUAGUUUCUAAACCACUACAGUCUGUUUCAUCAAUGACCUNNNNNNNNNNNNNNNNNNNNCGUAAACCUCCCUUGGCACAGCUUCAAAGCCUUGUUGGCAUCUGCUCUCUCUUGUCCUUGCCCAUCUGGCUGGCGCUGCCGUGUUGCUCACUGGCCUGUCUGUGGGAGAAGAGGCUGUGCCAAUGAGUGCUGCUCAACUUUGAGGCCAUCCAAAGGAGGAUUUGAUUGUGCCUGCUGUGGGAAGGAAGAUGCGUGCACAUGGCCACUUCCCAUAGGUUUUACCGCAGAUUUUCAUCAACAGCUGUCCUACUGAAAGUAAAGUCUGUUUUAGAAUUGCUUCUGUGUUACUUCACAUCAUCCAUUAAAAAUUUGAUGCCUGGAAAAAGUCCCGAGUGCUGUGUGAUUUCCUUGGUCGUGUUCUUUGGAAUGGCUUCCCCCAUUUUCUGAAGCUGGCCACAGAAAGGUAAUAGAUGGGUGAGAAGUUGUGAAAGGCCAACUGGUGUAGAUCUUUGCCUCCUGUUUCGAGGUCUGUGGUGAGCUGUGAGUCAAAGAGCUGAUUUGACGCUCUGGAGGUCAGAACUGAGGGGAGAUGCGGAGUCUCCUCCCAAUGCCCACUUUUGCCGCUGACUUGGUUCUUGGCCUCGGCUGAGAGCAGUAACGAAGGUGCAGCUGCAUCAGGUCACAGUUCUGCCUCAGCAGCUGCAUCAACUUCUUUGGACAGCCCUGUCCUCGGUGACGGCGGGGCAAUAUAAAUACAAUAUAAAUUCCAGCUCAUGCUUUCCCCAAAAGCCUCAUUUAAUUUAUCCAGGAUUAAAAAUUAAAGAAAAACUAAAAAAUAACUUAAAAGCAUUUCACAUAGUAUGUCAAAUACUAUCAUUUCCAUCUGAAGUGUUCAUCAUUAUUAUGUUUUUCUGAAGUGAAUUACCAAGUCUCCUGCACCCAUCUUCCCAAAAUCUGAUUCUAAGUGCUUGCUAGUUUAAUCCCUUAGGAAGCAAAGGUAGCCCCAGGUGUCUCUGGAUAAACAGAAACUAAGCAGCAAAGCUUGACAAAGUAUAUUAAAUUGUCAAUAAACUCAAUAAAGAUUUUCCA